rnacentral:rRNA from 1 species
CCCUUAGAUGUUCUGGGCCGCACGCGCGCUACACUGAUGCAUUCAACGAGUUUCUUCCUGGUCCGAGAGGAAUGGGUAACCUUUUGAAAGUGCAUCGUGAUAGGGAUAGACUAUUGCAAUUAUUGGUCUUCAACGAGGAAUUCCUAGUAGACGUAGUUCAUCAGACUGCAUCGAUUACGUCCCUGCCCUUUGUACACACCGCCCGUCGCUCCUACCGAUUGAAUGCUCAGGUGAGCCAUUCGGACUUUCAUCAUGCUGGUUUCCAGUUUUGAUGAAGGAAAGUCUUGCGAACCUUAUCAUUUAGAUGAAGGAGAAGUCGUAACA